CCAUUAAUUUGUGCUCUGGGAAUAAAGCUCUUUACUAUGAAAACAGGCAGUCUGAAAAACAAAAACAUGUCCAUAAAUCAUGAAAGCAGAACAUUUGUAGCUGUAUGACAGAACUGCUCACCACACAGUUUCUUUUUGUCCUGGACUAGACCCUAGUCUAGAUCACCAUGUGAAAUCUCUGAAGAAUAUUUUCUGUCCCAGGUCCCCCUGACCUACUUCAGGAGUCUGACAUCUCCUGUUCUCUUCAACCCCAACUUUCCACAAACCUGGGGAGGAUUUGAUCAUCAGUCAUAUUGCUGCUGAUUACAGAUUUUUGGAAUGCCUCUCUUGUGUGUUUCUUUACUCAAGAUUAUGCAUUUUCAAUGCUUUUAUUCCAACUGUGGAAUAGGAUUGGAUUUACUUUUCUUCAAAACAAAUGUGGUGUCAACCUAAAGGAGGAGGAAAACAGGUAAUGGAGGAACAAAUACAAUUCUCUCCUCUUCUGGAGUGGAGUUCUUCCCACCUUCCUGAAGCUUUGGCACCAAACCAUUUCAUGGCCCCAAUGCCUCAACUUCCAGUCCAAGGGAUUUCUGCAAGACACCUUCCAGAAGCUUCAGUUGUUACCCUCAUGGAGGUGGACAGGAAAGCAAAAAAGGGACAGCCAGCAUUUGAUCUGUCUGGGGGUGGACAUGGUGUUUAG
rnacentral:lncRNA from 12 species